rnacentral:rRNA from 1 species
CCUACGGGGGGCUGCAGUGAGGAAUAUUGGUCAAUGGCCGGAAGGCUGAACCAGCCAAGUCGCGUGAGGGACGACUGCCCUAUGGGUUGUAAACCUCUUUUAUGAGGGAAGAAUAAAUGCUACGUGUAGCAUGAUGCCUGUACCUUAUGAAUAAGCAUCGGCUAACUCCGUGCCAGCAGCCGCGGUAAUACGGAGGAUGCGAGCGUUAUCCGGAUUUUUUGGGUUUAAAGGGUGCGUAGGCGGUUUUUUAAGUUAGUGGUUAAACGUCGGGGCUUCACCUUGAUUUGCCAUUAAUACUGUAAGACUCGAGUUCGGACGAGGUAGGCGGAAUAAGUUAAGUAGCGGUGAAAUGCUUAGAUAUAACUUAGAACUCCGAUAGCGAAGGCAGCUUACCGGACUGCGACUGACGCUGAGGCACGAGAGCGUGGGUAGCGAACAGGAUUAGAUACCCUGGUAGUC